CACAGCUGAGAUUAUUGCCCAUGGUAACAUGCUUAUCAAUGCUCAUGCUUAACACGUGCUUUUAUAAUUCCAGGAAUUGGCGGUGAGGUGGGUGGCCUAAUUGGUGUGUUUUUUCCUGGAGAAGGAAGGAUUUGUUGUUGGAACAUGUUGGACAUGCUAGAACCCUCACCCCCGUCAUUAGCUAGAUUGGGUGCCAUAUCAUCACUCUGUGGUCUCUCACAAAAUUUCAUUGCCUUGAGAACAUAAUUAUCAUCAUGCAGCUCAAAAGGGGUGCUAUUAAAGUCAAAAUGCACCAGCUG
rnacentral:misc_RNA from 1 species